rnacentral:rRNA from 1 species
UACGAAGGGGGCUAGCGUUGCUCGGAAUUACUGGGCGUAAAGCGCACGUAGGCGGCUCUUUAAGUCGGGGGUGAAAUCCUGGAGCUCAACUCCAGAACUGCCUUCGAUACUGGAGAGCUCGAGUCCGGGAGAGGUGAGUGGAACUGCGAGUGUAGAGGUGAAAUUCGUAGAUAUUCGCAAGAACACCAGUGGCGAAGGCGGCUCACUGGCCCGGUACUGACGCUGAGGCGCGAAAGCGUGGGUAGCAAACAGG